rnacentral:rRNA from 1 species
GUGCCAGCAGCCGCGGUAAUACGAAGGGGGCUAGCGUUGUUCGGAAUUACUGGGCGUAAAGCGCACGUAGGCGGAUUUGUAAGUUGGGGGUGAAAUCCCUGGGCUCAACCCAGGAACUGCCUUCAAGACUGCAAGUCUAGAGAUCAGGAGAGGCGAGUGGAAUUCCGAGUGUAGAGGUGAAAUUCGUAGAUAUUCGGAGGAACACCAGUGGCGAAGGCGACUCGCUGGACUGAUACUGACGCUGAGGUGCGAAAGCGUGGGGAGCAAACAGGAUUAGAAACCCUUGUAGUCC